AUUCGUAGUUCCGGGGCUGGCUGAGGCCUGCCAGCCUUGCCCCCGCUCCUUCUUACGCAUGCGCGACUCCGAGCUGGCCCAAGAAGUUCGUAGCCUUUGUCAGGCCCGGGAUGGGAGGUUCCAGCCUCGCGGCACCGAGCCAGGCUCGAGAGUGAGGAAGAAACCCGACCCGACCAGAUCGAAACCUUUCAGCGGAGCCCCCCGAGGGAAGGCAGGAGGGAGGACGACGAGGCCACGGAGGCUUCUCACUGUUCGGCCCGGAGAAGUCUGAACUGGCGGGGGAGAUUGGAACCGGGAGCAGGUGGUGAUCAUGGAGACCGAUGUGCACGAGAAGAGAGCUCUGUCUUCCCAGGAUGCUCCCCUUUCCCAAGAGCGGAGCACAGAAGAGGGGGAAGUGGCAGCUCUGCGACUCACAGCUAGAUCCCAGGCAUCAGUGACAUUCAAGGAUGUGGCCAUGGACUUUACCCCAGAGGAGUGGGGGAAGCUGGAUCCUGCCCAAAGGGAGGUGAUGCUGGAGAACUAUAGGAACCUGGUGUCGCUUUGGCUUCCAGUUUCCAAAUCUGAGAACUACAGUUUGGAGAGCGGAAAAGAACCAUUGAUGCUUGAGAGAAAAGCCCCCAAAAGCAGCUAUUCAGACCUGGAGGCUAAACCCGAGGGCAAAGAUUCAACUUCAGCGCAAGAUAUUUCCAAAGAAGAAUCAUGCCAAGCCACAGUAAUAGACAGACUGACAGGAAAUGGUGUCUAUGACUCCAGCUUGGAAACAACUCUUGAAUGUGAAAAUUGGUUAGAGAAUCAGCAAGGAAAUCAGGAGAGACCCUUGAGAGAAAUGUUCACCCAUGUGAAUUCACUCCCCGAAGAAGGAGCUCAUGAGCAUGACGUAUAUUGGAAAAACUUUGGUCAGAAGUCUGUUCUUCUCACUCAAGACCGAGUUCCCAAAGAAUCCUAUGCCUUCCAUACACUUGGAAAAAGGUUGAAACCGAAAACAAACUUAAUGAAAAAGCAAAGAACCUAUAAAGAGAAAAAACCUCAUAAAUGUAACGAUUGCGGGGAGCUCUUCACUUACCAUUCAGUGCUUAUUCGACACCAGAGAGUCCAUACUGGAGAGAAACCCUAUAGCUGUAAUGAAUGUGGGAAAUCUUUUAGCCACAGAGCUAAUUUAACUAAACAUCAGAGAACUCAUACCAGAAUUCUCUUUGAAUGCAGUGAAUGCAAGAAGGCCUUCACAGAAAGCUCAUCCCUCGCGAUACAUCAGAGAAUUCACAUUGGGGAGAGACCGUAUGAAUGCAAUGAAUGCGGAAAAGGUUUUAAUCGAAGUACACAUCUGGUACAGCAUCAGUUGAUUCAUACUGGAGUGAAGCCGUAUGAAUGUAAUGAAUGUGAUAAAGCUUUCAUUCAUUCCUCAGCUCUUAUUAAACAUCAAAGAACUCAUACUGGAGAGAAACCCUACAAAUGUCAGGAAUGUGGGAAAGCCUUUAGCCACUGCUCAUCCCUUACUAAACAUCAGAGAGUUCAUACUGGAGAAAAGCCAUAUGAAUGUAGCGAAUGUGGAAAAACCUUUAGUCAGAGCACACAUCUUGUUCAGCAUCAGAGAAUCCAUACUGGAGAGAAACCCUAUGAGUGUAACGAAUGUGGGAAAACCUUCAGCCGGAGCUCAAAUUUUGCUAAACAUCAAAGAAUUCAUAUUGGAAAGAAACCGUACAAAUGUAAUGAAUGUGGGAAAGCCUUCAUUCAUUCAUCAGCUCUUAUUCAACACCAGAGAACUCAUACUGGAGAGAAGCCUUACAGAUGUGACGAAUGUGGGAAAAGCUUUAAGUGCAGUUCAUCCCUCAUCAGACAUCAAAGAAUUCAUACUGAAGAGCAACUCUGAAAAAUUACUGAAUGUGAAGAAAUGGCUAGAAAACUAAACCCAAUGGAUUCAUCUCCACCAAGUUCCACCUGUAAUACCUGUAAAUAUGGAUGAAUUGCUCUCCUUUUGCGGUUCCCCAGGUCUGUUACAGCUCCUGUUCUACCGGAGAGUGACCUUCUUUUCGACUUGUAGGGCUGGGAUCUUGAAAGCCAUAGCAUAGGUCAUUCAUUCCUCCUCAACUAACUCUUUGUCCUCCACUGAAUCGUCGGUUAACAGUCUGAUCUCAUGAAGUAAUCUGCUUCCAGACAAAAAAAACAAAA